ACGGAGGGUGCAAGCGUUGUUCGGAUUUAUUGGGCGUAAGGGGAGGUAGGUGGUCCCGCAUGUCCGGGGUGAAAUCCCUGGGCUCAACUUAGGAAGUGCCUCGGAAACGGCGGGACUUGAGUCUUGGAGAGGUUGGCGGAAUUCCCGGUGUAGCGGUGAAAUGCGUAGAGAUAUGGAGGAACACCAGUGGCGAAGGCGGCUUCCUGGCCUGUAACUGACGCUGAGGCGCGAAAGCGUGGGGAGCAAACAGGA
rnacentral:rRNA from 1 species